AAACUUGUUUUCUAGGGUUCCGCGACAGAAUGAAGGCUGUUGGUCAGGUCCAAGAGAAGACACACGGUGAGCUUCAUCGUGCACACGGAGGGAUAAAAGCCCGGGAGGA
rnacentral:sRNA from 2 species